rnacentral:rRNA from 1 species
AGGCUUAACACAUGCAAGUCGAGCGGGGAAGGGUAGCUUGCUAUCUGACCUAGCGGCGGACGGGUGAGUAAUGCUUAGGAAUCUGCCUAUUAGUGGGGGACAACAUUCCGAAAGGAAUGCUAAUACCGCAUACGCCCUACGGGGGAAAGCAGGGGAUCUUCGGACCUUGCGCUAAUAGAUGAGCCUAAGUCAGAUUAGCUAGUUGGUGGGGUAAAGGCCUACCAAGGCGACGAUCUGUAGCGGGUCUGAGAGGAUGAUCCGCCACACUGGGACUGAGACACGGCCCAGACUCCUACGGGAGGCAGCAGUGGGGAAUAUUGGACAAUGGGCGAAAGCCUGAUCCAGCCAUGCCGCGUGUGUGAAGAAGGCCUUUUGGUUGUAAAGCACUUUAAGCGAGGAGGAGGCUACCGAGAUUAAUACUCUUGGAUAGUGGACGUUACUCGCAGAAUAAGCACCGGCUAACUCUGUGCCAGCAGCCGCGGUAAUACAGAGGGUGCGAGCGUUAAUCGGAUUUACUGGGCGUAAAGCGUGCGUAGGCGGCUUUUUAAGUCGGAUGUGAAAUCCCUGAGCUUAACUUAGGAAUUGCAUUCGAUACUGGGAAGCUAGAGUAUGGGAGAGGAUGGUAGAAUUCCAGGUGUAGCGGUGAAAUGCGUAGAGAUCUGGAGGAAUACCGAUGGCGAAGGCAGCCAUCUGGCCUAAUACUGACGCUGAGGUACGAAAGCAUGGGGAGCAAACAGGAUUAGAUACCCUGGUAGUCCAUGCCGUAAACGAUGUCUACUAGCCGUUGGGGCCUUUGAGGCUUUAGUGGCGCAGCUAACGCGAUAA